ensembl:snRNA U6 U6 spliceosomal RNA
GUGCUUGUUUCAGCAACACAUAUCCUAAAAUUGGAAUGAUACAGAGAAAAUUAGCAUGGUCCCUGUGCAGGACUGAUGUGCAAAUUCAUGAAGUGUUCCAUGUUUUC